rnacentral:rRNA from 1 species
UACGGAGGGUGCGAGCGUUGUCCGGAAUCAUUGGGCGUAAAGGGCGCGUAGGUGGCCCGGUCAGUCUUUGGUGAAAGCGCGGGGCUCAACCCUGCGUCGGCCAGGGAUACUGCCGCGGCUCGAGCACUGUAGAGGCAGGCGGAAUUCCGGGGUGUAGCGGUGGAAUGCGUAGAGAUCCGGAAGAACACCGGUGGCGAAGGCGGCCUGCUGGGCAGUUUGGCUGACACUGAGGCGCGACAGCGUGGGGAGCAAACAGG